CAGUGAGUGGAAUGAGGUGGGGGAGUGAGAGGAGAGAGUAGGAGCAGAGAUGGGAAGCCUGGCCAGUGGAGGCAUCCCAGGCCUGCUCUGAGGAGGUGCCAUAGCCCUGAGAACCGAGGUCAGUGACCUAACACAGCAGACAGCUGAGCUCACAGGCCUCCGCGACCCGGAGGAGGAACCUCAAGGAGGAACCGGACCCCUCCUCGCAGGGCUGCUACCGCCACACAGAAGGGGCCCAUUCUGCUUACAGGAAAUGCUGUCCAUCAAAGGCUCUCCAGGGACAUGGAGCCACACCACUUGGUCCUCGAG
rnacentral:lncRNA from 1 species